UUAUUAUAGCCGAUGUCAGAGAAAUUACUGCCUGGGCUCUUCUUUAGGAUUUCUAUGGUUUCGGGUCUCAUAUUUAGAUCCUUAAUCCAUUUUGAGUUUAUUUUUGUGUAUGGUAUAAGAAAGUGGCCCAGUUUUAUUCUUUUGCAUGAGUUGUCCAGUUU